rnacentral:lncRNA from 1 species
AUGGACCCAUCACAGAAGUUUAACCCAACUUUGAUCCCAAAGCCUUCAAAAAUGCUCACUGAAGAAAAUUCCCAGGACAAUUCAGGGCCUCUCAUAACUUCUGCUCCGAGACAUUGAUAAAGAACCUUAAACUUGAUUCUCAGCUCUGGUAUCAAAUUCCCUUCCUCUCUACCAGAAGGUUCACUCCAACAAUAGGAGAAAAGAGAAAUGAUCUUCCAGGACAUCAGAGAUGGCUUACCUUACAGGAGGAGGGAGUAAGAACAUUGCUGUCUGUAUGGAAAGAAAUGAUGCUAAAAUGUAGAUACGUGUCACUUAGCAGGCUUCCUAGGCUUGAAAGAAAACAAACACUGGGCUUAAGGGAGUUCAGAAUGAUCAAGAAGUGAACCAUUCAAAUGUGGCUGUGGUUUCUAUGUGUAUCAUAGAUGGGAUUCUUCUGAGAAUGCUAGAAUAGGGAAUUAUGGCACUGAGCCAAUUCAGCCA